GCGCCCAAAGCCGACGUGAAGGUGAUGCGCGGGAGCACAGAUCCGGGGCAGUGCGCUGCGCAGACGCGCGCGGCGAAGCCGAGUGGGCGCGGGAGUGACGUCACGGCGCGCGACGCGGGGGCGGGGCAACUCGCUGAUGGCGCCCGUAGGCCGCUGGCAGAAGGGCCGCGACCUCACCUGGUACGCCAAGGGCCGGGCGCCGUGCGCGGGCCCGAGCCGCGAGGAGGAACUGGCAGCCGUGCGGGAGGCGGAGCGCGAGGCGCUGCUGGCCGCCCUUGGCUACAAGAACGUGAAGAAGCAACCCACGGGCCUGAGCAAGGAGGACUUCGCGGAGGUCUGCAAGCGGGAAGGAGGCGACCCCGAGGAGAAGGGCGUGGACCGGCUGCUGGGGCUGGGGAGCGCCAGUGGCUCCGUGGGCCGCGUGGCGAUGUCCCGAGAGGAUAAGGAGGCCGCCAAACUGGGGCUGUCUGUGUUCACGCAUCACCGCGUAGAGAGCGGCGGGCCCGGGACCUCGGCAGCCUCGGCCAGGAGGAAGCCGCGGGCGGAGGAUCAGAGGGAAAGCAGGUGAGGCUGCGCCAACUGGGCGAG
rnacentral:sRNA from 1 species